GACGAACGCUGGCGGCGUGCUUAACACAUGCAAGUCGAACGGAAAGGCCCUUCGGGGUACUCGAGUGGCGAACGGGUGAGUAACACGUGGGUGAUCUGCCCUGCACUUUGGGAUAAGCCUGGGAAACUGGGUCUAAUACCGAAUAGGACCACGCGCUUCAUGGUGUGUGGUGGCAAGCUUUUGCGGUGUGGGAUGGGCCCGGGGCCUAUCAGCUUGUUGGUGGGGUAAUGGCCUACCAAGGCGACGACGGGUAGCCGGCCUGAGAGGGUGACCGGCCACACUGGGACUGAGAUACGGACCAGACUCCUACGGGAGGCAGCAGUGGGGAAUAUUGCACAAUGGGCGCAAGCCUGAUGCAGCGACGCCGCGUGAGGGAUGACGGCCUUCGGGUUGUAAACCUCUUUCAAUAGGGACGAAGCGCAAGUGACGGUACCUAUAGAAGAAGCACCGGCCAACUACGUG
rnacentral:rRNA from 1 species